rnacentral:rRNA from 1 species
GAUGAACGCUGGCGGCGUGCCUAAUACAUGCAAGUCGAGCGAACAGACGAGGAGCUUGCUCCUCUGACGUUAGCGGCGGACGGGUGAGUAACACGUGGAUACCUACCUAUAAGACUGGGAUAACUUCGGGAAACCGGAGCUAAUACCGGAUAAUAUAUUGAACCGCAUGGUUCAAUAGUGAAAGACGGUUUUGCUGUCACUUAUAGAUGGAUCCGCGCCGCAUUAGCUAGUUGGUAAGGUAACGGCUUACCAAGGCGACGAUGCGUAGCCGACCUGAGAGGGUGAUCGGCCACACUGGAACUGAGACACGGUCCAGACUCCUACGGGAGGCAGCAGUAGGGAAUCUUCCGCAAUGGGCGAAAGCCUGACGGAGCAACGCCGCGUGAGUGAUGAAGGUCUUCGGAUCGUAAAACUCUGUUAUUAGGGAAGAACAAAUGUGUAAGUAACUAUGCACGUCUUGACGGUACCUAAUCAGAAAGCCACGGCUAACUACGU